rnacentral:lncRNA from 1 species
UCAGUCAUUCAAUUCCAUUAAUAAAACAUAAUUUUCUCGACUUCUGCAUUUUACAUUUUCGUCAAAUUGCAAUCAUGUUUCAAUAUUUUUUUUUUGAAAUUUUGUGAAUAUAGAUUAGUCGUGGAUUUUAUUUUCACAUCACAUACCUUCUGCUGUUCUCAACUGAGAAUUGGUAACACAUAAACAACUGUUAUACAAGUGGUAGGUGUAUAUAUUUAUGUUAUAAUUUAAGCACAAUUAACCUUCUAUUUUUUUUUACCUCUACCAAAACAAUGACAGUUGUUUCCAUUCGCUCAUAUGUUUGAUAAAUUGGACCAUUUGAUCGUUUUACUGUUUUAUGGACUUAAACUGAUCCCAUAUAUCUGGACUUCGGUAGUUUUAUUCCCACUUUUUUUUUUUUAAUUUACAAGAUAAGUGAAAGGACACUCUUUUUGACAGUUUUUAAAUAUUCUUUUUAAAUAGUUUUAUAUUAUCGUAGUUAGACAUUUAACUUAUAAAUAAUGUCAUCAAUAACAAUAUGUUUUUGGGUCCUCGCUACAACCUGACUAAAGGAAAUAAGAUAACGGUAAUAAGUUGGUAGUUAAACAUCGCCUCUUGAAAAAAAAAUUUCCCUAACCAUUUCAAGGAGUAUCAUCGAAAUCUAUAAUUUAAGAUUAAGUUAAAAAAUUUACAACCAACAUUUACAACAAUGUAUGAUUAAGAUGUUUUAAAAAAUGAAUGCCAGGUUAAUGUAAAACAAUUGCUUAACACCUAAUGUACAACACCUUACCGUAAAAGUUGAAGAUGACAACGAGAACAAUAGAUAUACCGACAAGGGUAACGAGGGUAUAUCCCAGUUGUAAUUGCCUAAUCUGCAUAAAAUGAUAUAAACAUAUAUCAUAGGCUUACAUGUUUUCCGAGCGCUUUUUCUGUGCAUAAUCUGAUAAUAAAGAUACAAAAGAAGGACCAGGUCCUCCAUUUAUUAUUGGACGAAGCUUUUAUUUAGCUGUCUAAUAUAAAAAUUUACAGUUUUAUAGAUAUUCCGCUGUCUGGCUAACGGGGUGUCAGAUCAAUGGGGUGUGGAAAUAUUGGAAUUGCUCCUUGCAGCUUUACCAGUUUUCCUCACAAAAAUAUAUAGAGACGUAACAUAGACAGGAUAUCGUAUAAUUGAUAAGAAGAAAGUACAAUACAAUUGAUUGUUUUAGCAAAAUUUGAAGUGCAGUCCAAGGUCGUUGAAAGGCUUUUUUAAUUCAAUAUCUAUUCUUUAACUAUUUGUCUACAUCUGCCCAUCGUAAUUUAUAAUUGAUAUAGUUUAAUGUACCGGUGAUUUUAUUUAUUAAAUAAGGACAACAGUAGUAUACCGCAGUCAAAAAUAAAUCAUAAAUCGAUUGAGAGAAAAUAAAUCCG